UACGUAGGGUGCAAGCGUUAUCCGGAAUUAUUGGGCGUAAAGAGCUCGUAGGCGGUUUGUCGCGUCUGCUGUGAAAUCUGGGGGCUCAACCCCCAGCCUGCAGUGGGUACGGGCAGACUAGAGUGCGGUAGGGGAGAUUGGAACUCCUGGUGUAGCGGUGGAAUGCGCAGAUAUCAGGAAGAACACCGAUGGCGAAGGCAGAUCUCUGGGCCGUAACUGACGCUGAGGAGCGAAAGCAUGGGGAGCGAACGGG
rnacentral:rRNA from 1 species